CCUACGGGCGGCAGCAGUGAGGAAUAUUGGUCAAUGGGCGGAAGCCUGAACCAGCCAAGUCGCGUGCAGGAUGACGGCCCUACGGGUUGUAAACUGCUUUUAUACGGGAAUAACGCGCCUUACGUGUAGGGCUUUGCAUGUACCGUAUGAAUAAGGGCCGGCUAAUUCCGUGCCAGCAGCCGCGGUAAUACGGAAGGGCCGGGCGUUAUCCGGAUUUAUUGGGUUUAAAGGGAGCGUAGGCCGCAUGUCAUGCGUGCUGUGAAAUGUCCGGGCUCAACCCGGGUAUUGCAGGGGGAACUGGAGUGCUUGAGUCCGCGGAAAGCAGGCGGAAUUCGUGGUGUAGCGGUGAAAUGCUUAGAUAUGACGAAGAACCCCGAUUGCGAAGGCAGCUUGCUGGAGCGGAACUGACGCUGAUGCUCGAAAGCGCGGGUAGCGAACAGGAUUAGAUACCCGGGUAGUC
rnacentral:rRNA from 1 species